CAGUCGCCGCGGGAAUACGUAGGGGGCAAGCGUUGUCCGGAAUCAUUGGGCGUAAAGCGCGUGUAGGCGGCUCGAUAAGUCUGCUGUGAAAGUCCAGGGCUCAACCCUGGAAUUCCGGUGGAAACUGUCGAGCUUGAGUCCGGAAGAGGCAAGUGGAAUUCCUGGUGUAGCGGUGAAAUGCGCAGAUAUCAGGAGGAACACCAAUGGCGAAGGCAGCUUGCUGGGACGGUACUGACGCUGAGACGCGAAAGCGUGGGGAGCAAACAGGAUUAGAUACCCCAGUAGUCCCUGUCUCUUAUAC
rnacentral:rRNA from 1 species